AUAAUAUAAAUCGGCCUAAGAGAGAGAGAGGAUGUUAGGGAAGAUACCAUCCCGAGGACCUCCUGACUCCUGGGAUCAGUCGAGGGGCUGAGCCUCCCUUCCCCCCCGCAUUGGGACGCCUUCAGAACCAAUAACCCAUCUUACACACAAAGAAAGGAAGCACAGAAAAAGUGGUCUGUGUCCCCAGAGGACACACAAGAAGUGGCCCCAAUCCAUACCACCAAAUUGCAGAGGAGCAUCAAGGUGCAUGGAGCCCUCCACCCUACCUAUUUCUGAAGCCCAUUUUGUCCUGGCUCCUCCCUGGCAGUCACUCACUUUUCCAAGAACAGAAGCCAGAAAGCACAGCAGGAGAGGGCAGCAGAGGCUGCUGAAAGCCAUGGCAUUGCCUAGCAAAAGUAAAGCCAAAUAUCACACCUAUUAAGAAACAGCUGCACUUCUCAGCGUAUAGAUGGUGGAAACAGCAUGAAGGGUACGAACAUGGACAGAAGGUACACAGCCUGAUUGCAUAUCAUUUACCUCACAGGUCUUCAGGGAAAAAAUGCCUACACAGAAAGAAACUCAUAAAACACUGUAAAAAUAUACAUUAAAUAAAAACUUAUGCGUCAAUAUAA